rnacentral:precursor_RNA from 1 species
AGAUCAUGAAAAGCCUUUCAGGGUUUUAAAAUGGCUGGCAAGUCUUUUCAUGAUCUGA